UGAUAAGAAGAGGACUUAAACCUCUGUUGAUGGGGCUACAACCCACCGCCUAACCCUC
rnacentral:tRNA from 1 species